GAUGAACGCUGGCGGCGUGCUUAACACAUGCAAGUCGAACGAUGAAGCCCAGCUUGCUGGGUGGAUUAGUGGCGAACGGGUGAGUAACACGUGAGUAACCUGCCCUUGACUCUGGGAUAAGCCUGGGAAACUGGGUCUAAUACUGGAUAUGACUUCUCAUCGCAUGGUGGGGGGUGGAAAGAUUUAUUGGUCUUGGAUGGACUCGCGGCCUAUCAGCUUGUUGGUGAGGUAAUGGCUCACCAAGGCGACGACGGGUAGCCGGCCUGAGAGGGUGACCGGCCACACUGGGACUGAGACGCGGCCCAGACUCCUACGGGAGGCAGCAGUGGGGAAUAUUGCACAAUGGGCGCAAGCCUGAUGCAGCGACGCCGCGUGAGGGAUGACGGCCUUCGGGUUGUAAACCUCUUUCAGUAGGGAAGAAGCGAGAGUGACGGUACCUGCAGAAGAAGCGCCGGCUAACUACGUG
rnacentral:rRNA from 1 species